CUUUAAAAAUCUGGAUCAAGCUGAAAAUUGAAACGACACACAGUUAAUGUGUGUUCGAGUCUCUCAAAUUUUCGCGACACGACGAUGUUUCACGAAACAUCUUCGG
rnacentral:sRNA from 1 species